rnacentral:lncRNA from 1 species
AAGAGUUGGACAUUUUUGAUGUUGUAUUCUCCCCAUAAAUUGUCUAUCAUAAAAUUAUAGUAUGGGUCAAAAGCUAUGAACUGAUAUAUUUGAUGUGGGACUUGUCAGUAAAAAAUAGACAUGGAAAAUUCUCGCUUGUUGUAUGUUAAGUUAGCAUAAACUCACAGAUUUCUUGUUGUAAACAAGAUACACGCCGCGCUAUUCGAUGAAUUUUACAAUACGAGCGACACGAGUUAAAAAAGACAAACAAGCAAUUUUUAUACAAAUGUUUGGUUGAUAUGUUUUACCCAACACAAUUGAAAAUUAACCAAAGGCUACGAAUGAGUCUGAAAUGACAACGAAUUUAUGAAUGACGGUCGACAAAUGGAGACAUAAAGGCCACACCAGCAGGCAGGUUGCAGUCUGAUCUUGAUAAAAGUAUUCAAUAUAUCAGUUCAUGCAAACCCCGUCCCCCAAAAAAAAU